GACGAACGCUGGCGGCGUGCCUAAUACAUGCAAGUCGAACGCAGUGGGGACGGGUGAGUAACACGUGGGUAACCUCCCAUCAGAGGGGAUAACACUUGGAAACAGGUGCUAAACCGAUACUGAUGGAUGGACCCGCGGUGCAUUAGCUAGUUGGUGGGGUAACGGCUCACCAAGGCCACGAUGCAUAGCCGACCGAAGGGGGUGAUCGGCGGCACUGGGAGUGAGACACGGCCCAGACGCAGACGGGAGGCAGCAGUACGGAAUCUUCGGCAAUGGCUGCAAGCCUGCGCGACCAACGCCGCGUGAGUGAUGAAGGUUUUCGGAUCGUAAAACGCUGUUGUUAGAGAAGCGGUAUUUAACCAGCAAGCCAUGGCUAAAUACGUGUCAGCAGCCGCGGUAAUAC
rnacentral:rRNA from 1 species